rnacentral:rRNA from 1 species
AACGAACGCUGGCGGCAUGCCUAACACAUGCAAGUCGAACGAAGUCUUCGGACUUAGUGGCGCACGGGUGCGUAACGCGUGGGAAUCUGCCCUUGGGUACGGAAUAACUCAGAGAAAUUUGUGCUAAUACCGUAUAAUGUCUUCGGACCAAAGAUUUAUCGCCCAAGGAUGAGCCCGCGUAAGAUUAGCUAGUUGGUGGGGUAAAAGCCUACCAAGGCGACGAUCUUUAGCUGGUCUGAGAGGAUGAUCAGCCACACUGGGACUGAGACACGGCCCAGACUCCUACGGGAGGCAGCAGUGGGGAAUAUUGGACCAUGGGCGAAAGCCUGAUCCAGCAAUGCCGCGUGAGUGAUGAAGGCCCUAGGGUUGUAAAGCUCUUUUACCAGGGAUGAUAAUGACAGUAACUGGAGAAUAAGCUCCGGCUAACUCCGUG